rnacentral:misc_RNA from 1 species
GUAGGUGAACCUGCGGAAGGAUCAUUAACACGUUUCGUUCCGAACGUUUUUGACCCCUCUAUUUUCCGUGCACCCCUCGCGUCCGGCCUCCCAGCCGCCCUCCGGGUUUACUCGGUGUGGCCUGUUGGGCGUCCUCGGGAUCCAAGGCGUGAUUCUCUGCUGCUUGAUUGCGACAGAGUUUCUCGCCUCCUGAAAGGCGUUGCCACCUCACCCAAACCCUUAAAUCUAUACUAUCUGAACUUUAGUUGACUCACGUCAACGACUUAUAACAAAAAACAACUCUUAACAACGGAUAUCUUGGUUCUC